UGUUGUCUUCAGGGCGGGGUGAAAUACUUUGGUAUCAUUCCCCACCGGCGGUAAAGCAGAUGUUUCUGACAAGCCCGCGAGCGAAAGCUGAUUUCGGUUGGAUUCCGAAGCCGACGGUAUAGUCCGGAUGAAAGAAGAUGUGU
rnacentral:ncRNA from 2 species